CCCCAGCAUUCAGAGUUGGACGUUCCCAUGCCAACCUGCCGCGAUGUGCGCGGUAAGGUGGAUAACCGCUAAACGGUUGAUGUGGCUUGCAAAAGCAAUAUCGGAAACGCCC
rnacentral:ncRNA from 15 species